rnacentral:lncRNA from 1 species
CUACCUACGUCAGACAUAACCCCACCGUGUCCUCGAUUGGAGAAGGAACUCACGAAAGAGACAGUCACGGUUACACACACAGUUGGCAAGUUUUAAUUAAAUUAACUUCAAGUUAUCUAGAACCAGUGUUAAACAAAGUUUUCACGUUGCCACAUAACCGCGGGCACGGCUUUCCGAAAGAUUUAACCCUGCAGGGGUGCUCCAACU